rnacentral:rRNA from 1 species
UACGAAGGGGGCUAGCGUUGUUCGGAAUCACUGGGCGUAAAGCGCACGCAGGCGGAUUGAUAAGUCAGGGGUGAAAUCCCGGGGCUCAACCUCGGAAUUGCAUUCAAUACUGCUUCGCUCGAGUACUGGAGAGGAGGCUGGAAUUUACGGUGUAGCAGUGAAAUGCGCAGAUAUCGGGAGGAACACCUAUGGCGAAGGCAGCUCGCUGGGACGUUACUGACGCUGAGACGCGAAAGCGUGGGGAGCAAACAGG